rnacentral:rRNA from 1 species
UACAGAGGGUGCAAGCGUUAAUCGGAAUUACUGGGCGUAAAGCGUGCGUAGACGGUUACAUAAGUCGGGUGUGAAAGCCCCGGGCUCAACCUGGGAAUUGCAUUCGAGACUGCGUAGCUAGGGUGCGGAAGAGGGAAGCGGAAUUUCCGGUGUAGCGGUGAAAUGCGCAGAUAUCAGGAGGAACACCGGUGGCGAAGGCGGGUCUCUGGGCAGUAACUGACGCUGAGGAGCGAAAGCGUGGGGAGCGAACAGG